rnacentral:tRNA from 1 species
GUGGGAUUAGCUCAGUUGGUUAGAGCGCCAGAUUGUGGCUCUGGAGGUCGUGGGUUCGACUCCCAUAUUCCACCCCA